CCUACGGGCGGCAGCAGUGAGGAAUAUUGGUCAAUGGUCGUAAGACUGAACCAGCCAAGUAGCGUGCAGGAUGACUGCCCUACGGGUUGUAAACUUCUUUUAUGCGGGGAUAAAAUGAGUCACGUGUGCCGUUUUGUAUGUACUUUAUGAAUAAGGAUCGGCUAAUUCCGUGCCAGCAGCCGCAGUAAUACGGAGGGUCCGGGCGUUAUCCGGAUUUAUUGGGUUUAAAGGGAGCGUAGGUGGGUUGUUAAGCGUGUUGUGAAAGGUUGGGGCUCAACCGUAAAAUUGCGAUGGGUACUGGCAGUCUUGAGUACAGUUGAGGUAGGCGGAAUUCGUGGUGUAGCGGUGAAAUGCUUAGAUAUCACGAAGAACUCCGAUUGCGAAGGCAGCUUACGAAACUGCCACUGACACUGAAGCUCGAAAGUGCGGGUAUCAAACAGGAUUAGAUACCCCUGUAGUC
rnacentral:rRNA from 1 species